rnacentral:rRNA from 1 species
GCGAGAAAGUGGAGCAAUCCAUGAGUAAAGCGGCGUACGGGUGAGUAACACGUGGAUCAUCUACCUCUUAGUGGGGAAUAACCCUGGGAAACCGGGGCUAAUACCGCAUAAUCUCGAGAGAGGAAAGCAGCAAUGCGCUGAGAGAGGAGUCCGCGGCCGAUUAGCUAGUUGGUAGGGUAAAAGCCUACCAAGGCAAAGAUCGGUAGCCGGCCUGAGAGGGCACACGGCCACACUGGCACUGAAACACGGGCCAGACUCCUACGGGAGGCAGCAGUGGGGAAUCUUGCACAAUGGGGGAAACCCAGAUGCAGCGACGCCGCGUGAGCGAUGAAGCCCUUCGGGGUGUAAAGCUCUUUCGGCAGGGAAGAUGAUGACGGUACCUGCAGAAGCAGCUGCGGCUAACUACGUGCCAGCAGCCGCGGUAAUACGUAGGCAGCAAGCGUGGUUCGGAGUUACUGGGCGUAAAGGGUGUGUAGGCGGUUGCUUAAGUUUGGUGUGAAAUCUCCCGGCUCAACUGGGAGGGUGCGCCGAAUACUGA